GCCAGCAGCCAUAUCACCCUGCAGCCCACUGAUACUAAGCAGGUGUGAGCCUGGUCAGUACCUGGAUGGGAUACCUCCUGGGAUAAACUAAGGUUACUGCUGGAA
rnacentral:rRNA from 1 species